rnacentral:rRNA from 1 species
AUGCCCAUUGGUGUUCCAAAAGUACCUUACCGGAUUCCUGGAGAUGAAGAAGCGACUUGGGUUGACUUAUACAAUGUUAUGUAUCGAGAAAGGACACUUUUUUUAGGUCAAGAGAUUCGUUGCGAGAUCACGAAUCAUAUUACAGGUCUCAUGGUAUAUCUGAGUAUAGAAGAUGGAAUUAGUGAUAUUUUUUUGUUUAUAAACUCCCCAGGCGGGUGGCUAAUCUCAGGAAUGGCUAUUUUUGAUACGAUGCAAACGGUGACACCAGAUAUAUAUACAAUAUGCCUCGGAAUAGCCGCCUCCAUGGCGUCCUUCAUUCUGCUUGGAGGAGAACCCACCAAGCGUUGCCGUCGGUGGCAGACGGCAAAGAGCCUGCAUAUUGGCUCUUUUUUCUGUUUUUUAUUAAAUCCAACAAUUUUCAUCACAAAUAUAUAUGACAUAUAUAGAUAUAUUUCACAACAAACAUAUAAGAUAUAUAUGAUAUAUAUGACAACAAUUUUCACAGCAAACAUAUAA